AGUGAACGCUGGCGGUAUGCCUAACACAUGCAAGUCGAACGGCAGCACAUUAUUAGCUUGCUCUUACGGGUGGCGAGGGGCGGACGGGUGCGGAAUACAUCGGAAUCUACUUUGUCGAGGGGGGUAACGAAGCGAAACGUACGGUAAUACCGCAUACGACCUACGGGUGAAAGCAGGGGAUCUUGGUACGUUGCGCGAUGGAACGAGAGGAUGCCGGGUUAGUUAGUUGGCGGGGGAAAGAGCCACCAAGGCGACGAUCCGUAGCUGGGCUGAGAGAUGGAUCGGCGACACUGGAACUGGAACACGGUCCAGACUCCUACGGGAGGACGCAGUGGGGAACAUUGGACAAAGGGAGCAAGCAUGAUCCAGCAAUGCCGCGUGGGUGGAGAAGGCCUUCGGGUGGUAAAGCAGUUUUGUUGGGAAAGAAAAGCAGCAGGUCAAUACGAAGAUGUUCUGACGGUACCUAAAGAAUAAGCACCGGCUAACUUCGUG
rnacentral:rRNA from 1 species